GAUUCCCCCCACCCCAACAAAAUCCUUUCUAUUUUCAGAAGAUUUCUUCGGAAACCCAUCGGAGAUUCACUAACCCUUUCCUUGAAUUCAAGUAAUUUGGGUUUUGUUUUUCUUCAAAUGGCAGAAUUAGAACAAAGUAAAAUCAUUGAUAAAGAUGUGAUUUUUGCUGUUAAUGAAUGUGACUGGAAGGUGUCAAUGACUACUACCUUGAAGACUUGGAGGGAAGUGUUAGACAUUAAUACUCAACUGGCUGAGGGUUUAAAACCAGAAUGUCUGCUGAAAUUGUAUGACCUGCUCAUCAGUUUGUCUGUGGACUCGUUAUCACGGUGUCCUGGUGAAAACUUUACCGAUAUACGUAAAAUGUCCAAUUUUCUCUUUGAAGAACUUUCAGGGAGGCUCGAACAUUUAUUUUCUAAUGUUGGGCAGCAUAUACUAUGUUCGGAUUCAUGGGGUCUUUUACAGGAGUUAACUCUUUUGUUAAGAUGUUGUAUUUCUAUGUUGCACUUGCUUGAGUUCGACCUAAGUCUCCUCAUUGAAAAGUGUCAAAUUCUCCUAAGUAUACUCAGAAUAUUAUGUUCUCCGGAGAUAGCAUCCACGGCAGGAAGAAAGGGGAAAAGUGUUUGUAUCACCUCUGUGUCCUGUGCAUUUUUUCCUGUCCUGCACUCAAUCAUCGAGGUGUUCAUCAAUGAAUUUCUAGUGCACAAGAAAUUAGGAGAUUACUUUACGACGUUAGAGACUGUCUCUUCUACAAGUGAUAACCUAUUUAGGGAUCCAUUGAAUCAAGGUUCAGGAGAUGUUGUGUUGGAGUUGAUUUCUUCUCAUUUUCUUCUAUCAAUUUCUGAUGAGCCAACCUUCAAGAACUCCUUGGAACCAUUCCUUCUGCUGUGUGAUGAAAAGCCCCCUUUCCUUGACCUAAUAAGCCUAAAUGCAGCUAUGCAAUUACUUUCAACAAUCGUCAUAUAUUCUCCACCACAAAUUUUACAAGCGCAUAUGAUUUCCUUGGUUUCUAGAUGCAGUAGCAUUAGCAUGGCUUCAUAUAAUCAAGCAUCAGAUCCAAGACUAGUGAACUGGUACAUAUCAGCGUUUGAAAUAUCAGUGGACUUGUAUUCCCAAAACAUGUCAAGUUUACAAUUGGGGGAUACUCAUGGAGAACCUAAAAGUGGGUUUGGUUGCAGUGAUAAACAAUGUACGGCAGGAGGAUUAUCACAUCUAUCAUUUGAAUCUCAUAUUCGGCGGGUCAUGUAUAGUCAACUGAAAGUUCACACAACUAACUUUCCUACGUCUGUUCAUCUUUUGCCGUUGAAAACGAAGUCUGAUUAUAAGAAUGCUUGUAUUGCAUAUAUGAAGGAGAAUCAAAAUAUUCUUAACGUGUCAUCCAGAGACGAAAGUUUCUCUGUUUUGAGUAACAUUAUAUCAAGGAUCCUUUCUGGAGAUAUUGGGACUAGUAAACUGUGGGAAAAAGGAAACAUAAGUCAGCAGAAAAUGUAUCUUUUGGCUUCCAUAGUAAACUUGAUGAGUAGUUCACUGUUGCAAACAAUCUGGACAAUGCAAAAAGGAAGUUUGGGUAAUGCUGAAAUGCGAAAACGUUAUUCUCAGUGUAAGGAGUACGAUAUGAUCAUAAGCAAGAUUAGCUGUUUCCAGCAGUGUAGCAUUACCCCACAAUCAAUUUGUACCCUAGUAGCGGAUAUGAUGGCACAUUACCCUGCAAGGCAUAAGCACUCGAAAAUGAUGUUUAUGCACUUUGCAAGCUUGCUAUUGUUUAGUUUUGAAGCUGGGCUUGAGUUCUUAAGCAAGAGUUGUAUACUUAUGCUGAUGACAUUGAUGAAUCUAUUUAAUCUUGAAAAGGGUAAUCUGGAUGCACUGAAACAUCUUGAAGUCGAAUCUUUAUCAUCUCCAUGUUCAAAUAAAUUAUUGGUGGUAACAUCUUCUUCUUUAUUGAAGUCGCUAGGGCUAUAUGCCCGUGCAUUGCAGAGGCUAGAUUUCUGAAUUCUGCGAUUCCGCAUGUCAGUUCACAACAUUUGGAUUUUGGUGAUAAGGAUGUGGAGACAAAUUCUCAGUUUCGUUCUAGGACAAAUUAAUCAAUUCAACCAGAAGCUUCAAGAAGUUCCCUGAUCAGUGAUGGUGUAGAACAGUUUGCUCUUAUCACAAAGGAGAAAACUAGAAUCGAUUAUAUGUGUGGCGGCGAGAAUUGUUUGAAACAUAUACUAGGUAAAGAUAGACCGCCAGAUGAUGAUGAGUUGGCUGAUUUUGUUCAGUGCAAGGAAAAGAUUAUUCGAAAUAGCUGAGAGAUUGAAAGAAGUAUCGAAAUUAUGCAUGGGACAAAAAGGCAGGCAACAGC